UACGGGGGGGGCAAGCGUUGUUCGGAAUUACUGGGCGUAAAGGGCUUGUAGGUGGCCAACUAAGUCAGACGUGAAAUCCCUCAGCUUAACUGGGGAACUGCGUCUGAUACUGGAUGGCUUGAGUUUGGGAGAGGGAUGCGGAAUUCCAGGUGUAGCGGUGAAAUGCGUAGAUAUCUGGAGGAACACCGGUGGCGAAGGCGGCAUCCUGGACCAACACUGACACUGAUGAGCGAAAGCCAGGGGAGCAAACGGG
rnacentral:rRNA from 1 species